CAAGACCUUGCGCUGAAGGAGCGGCCGAUGUCUGAUUAGCUUGUUGGUGAGGUAAAGGCUUACCAAGGCAACGAUCAGUAGUUGGUCUGAGAGGACGGCCAACCACACUGGGACUGAGACACGGCCCAGACUCCUACGGGAGGCAGCAGUGGGGAAUUUUGGACAAUGGGCGAAAGCCUGAUCCAGCCAUGCCGCGUGAGUGAAGAAGGCCUUCGGGUUGUAAAGCCCUUUCAGUCGGAAAGAAGAGAUCAUGACUAAUACUCAUGAUUCAUGACGGUACCGACAGAAGAAGCACCGGCUAACUACGUGCCAGCAGCCGCGGUAAUACGUAGGGUGCGAGCGUUAAUCGGAAUUACUGGGCGUAAAGGGUGCGCAGGCGGUCUUGCAAGUCGGAUGUGAAAGCCCCGGGCUUAACCUGGGAAUU
rnacentral:rRNA from 1 species